rnacentral:rRNA from 1 species
UACGGGGGGGGCAAGCGUUGUUCGGAAUUACUGGGCGUAAAGGGCUCGUAGGCGGCCAACUAAGUCAUACGUGAAAUCCCUCGGCUUAACCGGGGAACUGCGUCUGAUACUGGAUGGCUUGAGUUCGGGAGAGGGAUGCGGAAUUCCAGGUGUAGCGGUGCAAUGCGUAGAUAUCUGGAGGAACACCGGUGGCGAAGGCGGCAUCCUGGACCAAUACUGACACUGAGGAGCGAAAGCCAGGGGAGCAAACGGG